rnacentral:rRNA from 1 species
GAAGGUCCGGGCGUUAUCCGGAUUUAUUGGGUGUAAAGGGAGCGUAGACGGUUUGGCAAGUCUGAAGUGAAAGGCAUGGGCUUAACCCGUGGACUGCUUUGGAAACUGCAGAACUGGAGUGCAGGAGAGGUAAGUGGAAUUCCUAGUGUAGCGGUGAAAUGCGUAGAUAUUAGGAGGAACACCAGUGGCGAAGGCGGCUUACUGGACUGUAACUGACGUUGAGGCUCGAAAGCGUGGGGAGCAA